AGGCCGGGAGGAGUGGAACCGGUUCUGGGGCCUUCGGAGGAUUUGGCGGAGCAGGGCGGGGCGAUACUCGGAACCGGCCUGUCGCAAACACCCGCCUCCGCCCCGGCCGGUCCCAGGGCCUCCCACACUGUGCACUGUCUGCAUUGCCAACCUAGGACCUCUGAGGAACUAGGUGGUGCUAGUCCUCGCUCUUGAAACCUUUGUAACUAUUAAGGCUGAAGUGCCAUUUAAAGAAAAAAGAAGGCAAAGAAAUGAGCUACGAGAGCCAUGCAGGGGAAGAGGUCACAUAAAGUUCCCAAUUUCCUGGCAAGUUUGGCUCAGUGGAUGGAGCGUCGGCCUGCGGAAUGAAGGGUCCCGGGUUCGAUUCUGGUCAAGGGCAUGUACCUUGGUUGCGGGCACAUCCCCAGUGGGGGGUGUGCAGGAGGCAGCUGAUCGAUGUUUCUCUCUCAUUGAUGUUUCUGACUCGCUAUCUCUCUCCCUUCU